GCCAUCAUUUAAAGAAAGCGUAAUAGCUCACUGGUCGAGUCGGCCUGCGCGGAAGAUGUAACGGGGCUAAACCAUGCACCGAAGCUGCGGCAGCGACACUGCGGUGUUGCUGGGUAGGGGAGCGUUCUGUAAGCCGUCGAAGGCGGGCCGUGAGGUCUGCUGGAGGUAUCAGAAGUGCGAAUGCUGACAUAAGUAACGAUAAAGCGGGUGAAAAACCCGCUCGCCGGAAGACCAAGGGUUCCUGUCCAACGUUAAUCGGGGCAGGGUGAGUCGGCCCCUAAGGCGAGGCUGAAAAGCGUAGUCGAUGGGAAACAGGUUAAUAUUCCUGUACUCGGUGUUACUGCGAAGGGGGGACGGAGAAGGCUAUGUCAUCCGGGCGACGGUCGUCCCGGUUUAAGCGUGUAGGUGGGAUAACCCGGCAAAUCCGGUUAUCCGCAACACUGAGGCGUGAUGACGAGGCACCACGGUGCUGAAGUGACAGAUGCCCUGCUUCCAGGAAAAGCCUCUAAGCACCAGGUAACACGGAAUCGUACCCCAAACCGACACAGGUGGUCAGGUAGAGAAUACUCAGGCGCUUGAGAGAACUCGGGUGAAGGAACUAGGCAAAAUGGUGCCGUAACUUCGGGAGAAGGCACGCUGGCGCCAGGUGAAAAGACAUGCUCUUGGAGCCGAGGCCAGCCGCAGAUACCAGCUGGCUGCAACUGUUUAAUAAAAACACAGCACUGUGCAAACACGAAAGUGGACGUAUACGGUGUGACGCCUGCCCGGUGCUGGAAGGUUAAUUGAUGGGGUCAUCCUCAGGGAGAAGCUCUUGAUCGAAGCCCCAGUAAACGGCGGC
rnacentral:rRNA from 1 species